rnacentral:lncRNA from 1 species
AGAAAUAGGACUGCCUGCUAUCAGGUUAAUCCCAGGGACAUCAUUGAAAAAGUGGCUCCGUUGACAUCAAUGAUUAGUUUUCUGGUUGGUAAUUCUUGGUCACAGACAGUGUGAACCUCUUUCUAGUUGGCAGAACAUAAUUAGGAAAGAACGUUUUAUGUUAUUUUGUAUUGCUCUCCCUGACACCUUUCCCGCAUGCUUUAACUUCUUUGCUCUCUCUCUCUCUCUUUUUUUUUUUGUCUUUUUGGCUUUUCUAGGGCCACUCCUCCAGCAUAUGGAGGUUCCCAGGUUCACAGCCACUGCAACGCCAGAUCCAAGCCGCAUCUGCGGCCUACACCACAGCUCACAGCAACGCCAGAUCCUUAACCCGCUGAUCGAGGCUGGGGAUCAAACUGUAACCUCAUGGUUCCUAGUUGGAUUCAUUAACCACUGAGCCAUGAUGGGAACUCCUAACUUCUUUGCUGUCUAAACAAUUAUUUUAAACUCUUGCUGGCUCAGGAGCUACUAGAAUGAGGAUUGGCUAAUUUUGCCCAUUAUAAGGAGGAAUUUUUUAGAAUUUGUCUCCCUCUUGGCAUCAGGUACAGGUCUAGAAUCUCUGCCUCAUAGUUCUCUCCUUGUGCUGUAUUUCUGGAACACUGUGCUGGUACCAGGUGGGAGGGGGCCAAACAAGAUCGAAAGGGGCAGUUUUAUUUGUUUAGUGCCUAUGCUGGGCCAGACCUUUGCUUGGUAGUUUACAUUCACAGUCUCAUUUGAUCCUUGCGAUAAUAUUGUGGGCAGAUAUUAUUUUCUUCUUUUUAUAAAUGAGGAAACGAUCUCAGCGUGGAUAAACUCGCGCAAGCUCACACAGCCAGUAAGUGAUAGCUCUGUGAUUUAAAUCAAUCCUGCCUGGUUCCAAAGCCUGUGAUCUUUCUACGAAUACUUCCCAAAGUUCCUGUCCUCUGUCUUUUGUUUGUCCAUUCAUACUUUCACCCACUCCUUCAGGCCCUCAGUCACUCAUUCAUCCAGCAAACACUUAUGAAUUGUCUGCUCUGUGUCAGGCACUGUGCUGGGCCCUGAAGACACAAAGACAAAAAAGAUCUGAUCUCCCCUCUUACAUCCCAGAGGAGAAUACAGACAGGCCAAAGUGAUACAAGGUGGACAUGUGUGAUUGCAGAGCUGAGUGUGUGUGUGUGUGUGUGUGUGUACAGGCUAUUUGAAGACCUCUGUACUUUUUAUCCCAUGAGUAACAUUAACAUUUACCUGGUCAAAGAGGUUCACAUUCCCUUUCUCCUUCUCUGCCUUGUCUCUUUAAAUUCAGUCUCUACACUGCAGCUGGAGUGAUUUUUCCAGAUGCGCACCUGUUUGCAUCACUCUCCUGCUUAAAACCCCUGGAUGGCUCUUGAUGACCCCAGGAUCAAGUCCAGCCUUCUUAGCAAGGCUUACCAGCCUCUUCUUGAUCUUCCCUGCAUCUCCUUCCACCUCAAAGUGCUUGAUUCGACAAUCAGGGAUUUGUGUGAGGCUCUUAGGAGACAGUCCAGACUUCCCGGUCCUGCAUCUUCCUUCGCCCCCAAGUUUUUGCUCCAGCUCUGCUAAACUUCUUACAGACUUAAGAAAUCUCAGAACGUGCUGUGCAUCUCUGAGCUCUGGCCUUUUGCCCCAGAUGGUCUCCUUGCCUGGAACCUCCCCACCUCAACUCCUCCAUGCCCUUCUUGCCCUUCUUAUCUUCCUUCACCAUCACUUCAUAUGAGAAGCAUUCCCUGACCCCAGAACUAGGUCAGGGGUCCCUGUUGUGUGUUCCCAUCCCUACGUGCAUGACCCAGUUAGGGCAUUUAUCACAUAGUUUCACAACCUCCCAUAGACACAUAUGUCCCCUCUAUUGGCCUAUAAGUGCCAGGAGCUUGAUCUUGCUCUCUGCUGAGUCCUCAGCAGCUGGCACCUUGACUGGCACAUAGUAGGAACUUAAUAAACGUUGUUGAAAUGAGUGGAUCGUAAGUCUAUAUUGCUAAUAUGAAGAAAACAGAAAUCGUUUUAUAUAGGCAUGCAUUAAAGAAUGCUUAGCUUUUUUCUUAUAUUUUUUUCAAUGUCCGAUAGUUAGUAUUAUGGGUCAACUUGACUGGAUUAUGAUAUGCCCAGAUCUGGGUGUAUCUGUGAGGAUGUUUCUGGGUUUUUUUGUUGUUGCUGUUUUGGGUUUUUAUUUUUGUUUUUGGCCACCCCGCAGCAUACGGGAGUUCCCAGGCCAGGGAUCAGAUCCACAGGGCAGCUGUGAACUAAGCCACAGCUGUAGCAACGCCAGAUCCCUAACCCACUGUGCCAGGCCGGGGGUCGAACUCACAUCCCAAGACGCUGCCAAUCCUGAUGCACUUUAGCAGGAGCUCCUGUGAGGAUGUUUCUGGAAGAGAUGAGCAUUUGAGUUGGUGGACUGAGUAAAGCUGCCCCGGUGUGGGGGUGGGGCGGGGAGCAGAGCCUCACGCAUCUGCUGAGGGCCUAAUGGACAGAAAGGGGGAGGAAGGGAGCAUGCGCUCUCUGCCUGGCUGAUUGAGCUGGGACAUCGAUCUUCUCCUGCCCUUGGUGCUCUUGAAUCUCAGGCUUCAGACUCACACUGGAACCUACAAGAUCAACUCUAUGGCUCUCAGGCCCUGCAGGUGGGUUAUCCAGCUUGCAGAUGGUGGGAGGUCAUGGGACUUGAUGACCUCCAUGGUCAUGUGAGCCAGGUCUUUAUAUUUUGUUUUAGUGUACACACACACACACAUAAUAUAGAAACAAAUACAUUUAUUUAAAUAUAUUUAAAUGAAUAAUAAAUUAUAGAAAUAAUAUAUGUAUAUUUACAUAUAUUUAAGUAAAUACAAAUUGUAUCUACCCCAUUGGUUCUGUUUCUCCGAAGAACCCUGACUAAUACACAUGGCUAAAGGAGUUCCCUGGUGGUCUCGAGAUUAGAAUUUGGCCUUUUCACCACUGCAGCCCAGGUUCAUUUCCCGGUCUGGGAACUGAGAUCCUACAUCAAGCCACUGCAGGCUGCGGCCAGUACAAACAACCAGCCAAAAGACAAAACCAAAAAAACAAACAAAAACAAAACCCACAUGGCUAAGUUGAUGGAGCUACACCUGAUAUGUAAAUACAGAUCUGAAUACAACUUUAAAAUUGUGAGAAGAGAGAUGGUAGUUCAGAAUUUAUUGAGAUGAGAAGGCUGGUAUCUUUUGUUCUAUAAUAGAGCACCUUGUGAUUAACAGGUAGGAAACAGCACACUCACUCCAGUGAGACAAUUGAAACAUUUCUAAUAAAAAAGCAUGUCCAGCAGAGAGAGUGACUGUGGAGCAGAUGGAAGGCUCACCCUAAAGUUUGACAGAGGAGCAUAGGGGUGGCACCUGCUGCAUUAAAUCAAUGGCAGGGACAAAUUGGGAGGGCUCCAGGGGACAUGGCACAGCCCCUAGGAGCUUAGUAGGUUUGCUUGAUUGGGGUUGAAGCUUCACACGGGAGAAGGAGAGGUUGGUAAAGACCUUGGUGAAGGACGGGCUGCCAGUUGAGUCGUUUGCCAUGAAAAACCUGGGUAUCUGGAAGCAUAGCGGAAACCCGAACAUCAGACCCUGAAAGCAGUAUUGCCAUUUGUGCAUUUCCUUUAUUGCUUUCUCUCUCUGGACAGUAUGGUAGAUUCCAUUUUUUGUUUCUAAAUCAGCUUUAAUGAAUGAAAAUCUGCUGUGGAUUGAGAGAUGCCAGCUUUAAGAGAGUAGAGGAAAAAAGAGUGGUGACACCUGCAGGGAGCAAGGUGUAACAUCUGGGGUCUGGCUUGCUUGUCUCAUACUAUCCCAGAGUUCAGGAUCCAGCAGUUCAAAAAGAGAGAGAAGAAGAAAAAAAAAAAAAACCCAAACAAAAAACCCCCUUGUCUUUUGAGCCCCUGUGGCUGUUCACAGCCACCCUGCCAUCAAUUCCCCGAGUGUGUCUUCUCCAAACAGCCACAUUUUCCCACUGACAAAACAUUUAAUUCUUAGUGACAUUUCCCCACCAUUAUAAAUAGCAGGGAGUUUUUAAUCAUUUUUUUAAGUGCCAAAGCUUUUUUUUUUUUUUUUUUUUGCCCGGCGGGGCUAUAGCCAUUUGAACAGAGCCAUUUAGAUCCUAAAACAAAUCGACUGGCAAGUAUUACACUUGGCUCUUCGAAGAGAACUGCUGAUUUUAGCACAUGAGGGAGUUUCACAAGGGUUUAUUUACAUCUUCAUAUUUUCCCCCUGUCAGGACUUUCCACCGCACCAAAGUGUUUGUGGAGCUGUCCGAGGUGGCUCCAGUGAUCUCUAAGGCUGUCACACAUUUUGAAAAACUGUAUCAAAAGGAAAUUAGUUUCAGGUCACUGUAGUUACAGAAAAUUCCCCACCCCUGUCAAAGAGUGUUACAGAGUCACCUAGCUAGGACCUGGUGGGGCACCUGCCGGGAGGUUGUCAUUCCAGACCUGGGACACAGGCAUGUCCUCGGGACCACAACUGUCACUGUCCGGAGGGAUACACCCUGCCUGAGAGCUUACUUUCUUCUGCUCUUCUGCCCCUGGAUCCCUUCCGUUGCUCCUUUUUUUAUGUACUGGUGAGUGAUAUGGGUUAAUCAAACUUGGGAGAAAACAUCAUGUAUGCAGUGAGAAGAUUAAAUUUUGUGAGUGUUGAUUAGCAUUCUCAGCACUGCUUUAAAAAUAUAUACUGUAAUGAACUCUUCUCGGCUAAAAUAUGGCGUUACAUAAUCAUAAUUCUGGUUUCUGUGCCAUCGUCAUUUCUGUGAAUAUACUUUAUUGCUCCCUGGUCCUGGGUGGAAUGAAGGUACCGAGCUUAUUUUCUUUUUAAAACAUUGUAGCAGGGGAGUUCCCGUCGUGGCGCAGUGGUUAACGAAUCCGACUAGGAACCAUGAGGUUGUGGGUUCGGUCCCUGCCCUUGCUCAGUGGGUUAACGAUCCGGCGUUGCCGUGAGCUGUGGUGUAGGUUGCAGACGCGGCUCGGAUCCCGAGUUGCUGUGGCUCUGGCGUAGGCCAGUGGCUACAGCUCCGAUUCGACCCCUAGCCUGGGAACCUCCAUAUGCCAUGGGAGCAGCCCAAAAAAAAGCAAAAAAAAAAAAAAAAAAAAAAAAA